UACAGAGGUCCCAAGCGUUGUUCGGAUUCACUGGGCGUAAAGGGUGCGUAGGUGGUUGGGUAAGUCUGAUGUGAAAUCUCCGGGCUCAACCCGGAAAUGGCAUUGGAUACUAUUCGGCUAGAGGUUUGGAGGGGGGACUGGAAUUCUCGGUGUAGCAGUGAAAUGCGUAGAUAUCGAGAGGAACACCGGUGGCGAAGGCGGCCAUCUGGACGACAACUGACGCUGAGACGCGAAAGCGUGGGGAGCAAACAGG
rnacentral:rRNA from 1 species